rnacentral:misc_RNA from 1 species
UACGAUUUAAUUAACUUUGGAUAUGCAAUGUGUUUUGUAUUAGAGUUUUAGAUUUAAAGAUUAAUUCAUUUUUAAAAAAGAUUUAAAUAUUAAUUGAGUUCUUAAACAUAAAGUUCAUUCGUUAACUUUCCACUACAUUGCCCGCGACGCACUAAAGGAGACAUUUAUCCGUCUCACGGACCGGAGGACAAAACUGCGUGUCGUUUCCCCAGGUCGAAGAAGAAGACCCAACUCUUGUCAUCAAAUUGGGAGGAAAAUAAAUAAAUUAAAUAAAUAUAGCUACAGUGCACCGCCUCCACUUGCGCACUUUAGCUCGGGCAGCCAGCCUCCUCCAUCACUUUACGGUUUUCAGAUUCCUCAAUGUUUAAAUGCUCUCCUCUUUCUCCCGUCUCUUUCAUUUUGUACAUUUUCUUUUUCAUCUAAUAGCCACAUAUGUGCAAAACCAAACUGGCGAUCAACGAGCCAGACCCCAACUCAGUCCGCUCCUCCCGAACUCGUCCCAGUCAGCCUUCCCGGACUCUCCCCGCUCAAUCUCCAAGCACCCCUCCCUCACCGAGAUUGCCAACCUUCACCUCCUCCUCCUCCUACUCCUCCUUCUCAGCUCCCUCAACCUCCAGCACCUCCGGUGCGUUCAACUCAACAAGUUCGUCUUCCACCUUCUCCAGCCGAACCUCUCUCUCCGGUCUCCGCCAAUCCAUCUCUCAAAGCCCUAUCAUAUACGACAUCUCUGAGAUUCGCGCCGCCACCAACAACUUCCUCGCCAAACGCUACUCCACUGCCUCCACCUGCUGCUGGCGCUGUACUCUUAGGGACAGUGAGACGAUUGUCUUUCAGCGCAAGUUCCGCUGGAAAAUGGAAAUGUCACAGCUGAGAGAACAUCUAGGACUUAUCAGCCGAAGCCAUCAUACAAGCGUAGUCAAAUUACUGGGCGUUUCGAUAACAGGAGACUAUAUCUACCUCGUUUACGAGUUCAUCGCAGGCGCAAAUCUAGCCGAUUGUUUACGAAACGCGAGAAAUCCGGACUUCACGGUUCUCUCCUCUUGGAUUUCGCGAAUGCAGGUCGCCGCCGACCUGGCUCACGGACUCGAUUAUAUCCACAACCAAAUAGAGUUAAACUUAACCCUAGUCCAUAACCACAUCAAGAGCAGUGGUAUUAUCGUUACAGAGCCACAUUUCAAUGCCAAAAUUUGUCAUUUUGGUACUGCACAAUUGUGUGGGGAAGCGCAAGAGAAUAAGAACCGAAAAAAGAAGAGCUCAACUUCGACCGAAAUCACUGAAGCCAGCGAACAAGACAAAGAUAAAGAAGAUAGAUCGAAGGAUUUGAAAAGAUAUAAUAGUGGAGCUAUGCAAUUCGAAGGCGUGAGAGGCUACAUGUCGCCGGAAUUUCAAGCCAGAGGAAUAGCGACACAGGAAUCCGACGUGUACGCUUUCGGUGUAGUGAUAUUAGAGUUGUUAUCCGGUGAGGAACCAUUGAAAUACAAGUACGAUAAGAGCAAAGGCGAUUUCAUACGAACGUCAUUGAUAGAGACAGCAAGAGCGGCGAUUGACGGUGGCGACGAUGGUGAUGGAGGAAGAGAAGGGAGAUUAAGGAGGUGGAUGGAUAGGAGGCUGAAGGAUUCGUUCCCAGUGGACGUGGCGGAGAAACUGACAGUUCUAGCAGUACAGUGCGUACACGUGGAUCCAAAUAAGCGGCCAGACAUGGGACACGUGGCUGGGAAGAUAUCGAAGUGGUAUUUGGCUUCAAAAACGUGGUCCGAUAAUUUGCGGACGAUCUCUGACCAGAUUUCGGUCUCCUUGGCGCCUAGAUGAGUUGGAAACAGAAAAUUUGGCAGUUAUUUUUUUUUUUAUUUGCUUAUAUAUUAGGCUUUUUUUUUAAUUUAUUUUUUGAAAAUGAAAUUAUUGGGAUUUUGAAUUGAAGUUGUUUAUUCAAAGAAGGAUGAGGUUUAUCUAAUGAGGAUAGACCCAACCCAAACAAAAAUUUUAAAAAAUGUAAUAUAAUGAGCUGCUUGACGGGACAGAAGUGGAAUAAAU